AACGAACGCUGGCGGCAGGCUUAACACAUGCAAGUCGAGCGCCCCGCAAGGGGAGCGGCAGACGGGUGAGUAACGCGUGGGAACGUACCCUUUGCUACGGAAUAGCUCCGGGAAACUGGAAUUAAUACCGUAUGUGCCCUACGGGGGAAAGAUUUAUCGGCAAAGGAUCGGCCCGCGUUGGAUUAGCUAGUUGGUGGGGUAAUGGCCUACCAAGGCGACGAUCCAUAGCUGGUCUGAGAGGAUGAUCAGCCACAUUGGGACUGAGACACGGCCCAAACUCCUACGGGAGGCAGCAGUGGGGAAUAUUGGACAAUGGGCGCAAGCCUGAUCCAGCCAUGCCGCGUGAGUGAUGAAGGCCUUGGGGUUGUAAAGCUCUUUCACCGGAGAAGAUAAUGACGGUAGUCGGAGAAGAAGCCCCGGCUAACUUCGUGCCAGCAGCCGCGGUAACAC
rnacentral:rRNA from 1 species